GAAGAUAAUUGACUACAGAUUACUCGAUAUUAAUUUUCUUAAUCUCUCUUGAUCGGAAUUCAAAUUUUAAAAUUAGUUUAUAUUAAAUUCUGUUCUGUUUCAAAAACCUUUCGGUAGGUACCCACUGCUUCGGUAAUUAGGUACUAGACUUACACUAUGUCUUCAGAGUAGGAACGUAUUGUAAAUAUGAAUAUCGUAAAGUUGAAAUUGUAUUUUACACUUCUUGCGUGUUCCUGGGCAAAUACGAAUUGUUCCAAAACUGAACAACCUGAACUGACUUUGAGAAGACUUCCCUCAGGCCACAGAUUUCAAGAAGUAGUACAAAAUAGUAUAUAUGAGGAGGUGGAUAGCAAAACGCAAUAACUCCAAAAUUACGAAAAUUGAGUUUGAUAUCUAUCCUUAUGUAAAAUUCAACGGGGAAUCCAUUCCCGGUGUCAGAUUUUGUCCAUCAGUUGAAUAUCAUAGCGCAAUCGAGGAUAACAAGUCUGAUUUUAGAGGUAAAUGCAUUGAAAAAUGAGAUUUUGUUUGCAAAACGCAAUAACUCCACUACUUUUUAUACAUUUCAGUUGCGCAGAUGUGGUAACACUGUUUUUUUUCAUCGGGUGGGUACUGAAAAUCGUUGGGUAGGAGUUACUUAAAAAAAUGGUGCUUUCGUUGCCACUCUCUGAAUGCCAUAUCACACACAGGAAUUGUUUGAAUUUGACAUUCCAGUUUUUUAAUUGUUUUUUAUCGAAAAUUCUCGAUUAAACAUCAAUUUUUUCAAAUAAAAAAUACGUUUUUUUGCAGAAAAACACCAAAAAAAAAAUUUUGCGUUCAAAACGAAAUAACUUUUUUUUCUUUUCCUCACUGUGCUUACCCAGGUGACCGAAAUUUUGAAAUUGAGUGGAAAUUUUAUUUGUGGCACCUUCCCCUUUCAUUUGACACCAAUUUCGGAACUCGACCCCCCACCCUUCCCCUCCUGACAAUUUUUCCUAAUUUCCCAAAAAAAACAAAAAUGGAGUUAUUGCGUUUUGCUAUCCACCUCCUCAUAUGUUGAUAAGACCGGAAUUAUCUACGAAUUAAUAAAGGAACGCAAGACAUAUUACUUUUUUUGUCGUCCCCGAAGGUUCGGUAAAAGUUUACUGGUGAGUACACUGUUCGAAAUCUUCAAUGGCAAUAGCCGUUUGUUUGAAAACUUGACAAUCGGGCCCUCCAGAUACAAUUACACAUUUGAAAAACAUAUCGUUUUACGCUUUGAUUUUUCUUCGAUGAAGCACGAUCAAGAAGGAGCUCUCGAAGAAAGCAUCAUACUGGUUUUAUUAGAAGCAGCUCAGAAUUUGAAUAAUAACUCUGUUAGAGAGAUACACACAAUUUAUGGAACAUGUUAUGACUUAUCUCUUCGGACAAAUAUCAAAACAGUAUGGUGAACGAAAAAUCGUAAUUUUAGUCGACGAAUACGACAAUGCCAUCACAAAACACAUGUUUAAUAAGGAAUCAACCAUGGCUGAAAAAAAUCUAGAAACAAUGACGAAAUUUUUCACGGUAUUAAAAUCUCAAAACGACCAUAUUGCCUUUUGUUUUGUGACUGGAGUCGCAAAGUUCGCCAUAAAAUCGAUGUUCUCGGGGCCAAAUCAAUUCACCGACAUUUCAUUACUGUCGAAAUAUGCUACACUCGUUGGUUUUACCAAGCAAGAACUUGAGACCAACUUUAUGGACCAUAUCUCGCACGUUGCCACCACGAGAAGCGAUAUUGAGAACAAAACUUACAAUGCAACCGAUAUAUUGGCAACAAUAAGGCGCAUGUACGACGGGUAUCACUUUUCUGAAGAAACGUCCGAGGAAAAAUCCGUUUUUAACCCGAUUUCAACUGUCAGCUACCUUGAAAUAAUGAUAAGUCGAGAAUUUUGGUGGGAAUCUGCAACACCUUAUCUUGUAAUUAAUGUCCUCAAAGAAUACUCGGAAGAAAAUCUCCUGGAUCUGUAUGUUUAUAACCAGACUAAAACUGUAACAAGAUCGGAGCUAACUGGUAGCCACAACUUGCAUGUUAUCAACCCCACGUGUCUUUUGUUUCAAUCCGGGUAUCUUACAAUAGGUAGGCGAAUAUGAAGAAGAUCGCGACGUUUACAAUGUCCGCUUCCCAAAUAUGGAAGUUGAAGCAAGUUUCUUCAAACUUAUCAGUCAACUUUUGACAGGAAUACAGGCGGAAACCAUGCGGAAAGAUCUAAGCGGAAUAGGUACACAAAAUGUUAAUCCAAAAGGAUGUAGACGGAUUCUUUAAGAAAAUUGAAAUUGUGCUGCUUGAUAGCAUAGCGAGUAAAGUGUAUCCCGACAAAAAGUCCGAAAAAUGUUAUUCCGAGAAAUGGUUCCAAGCGACUCUUUAUUCUUUUCUUAAAGGAAUGUCUAUGUUGAAUCCGGAAAUGAAAGUUACCUGCGAAUAUAAUACAGCAGGAGGAACGGCGGACAUAAUAAUAGAGUAUAACAACAUCGUAUAUGUGUGGGAGUUUAAAUCCGAUAAGGUAAAGAACCAGCAGGAUAGAAAUGCAUCACAUAGUACAAGAGCAGCAAUGCUUUAUUGCUGCUCUUGUACUAUGUGAUGCAUUUCUAUCCUGCUGGUUCUUUACCUUAUCGGCUUUAAACUCCCACACAUAUACGAUGUUGUUAUACUCUAUUAUUAUGUCCGCCGUUCCUCCUGCUGUAUUAUAUUCGCAGGUAACUUUCAUUUCCGGAUUAACAUUUCCUAAUGAUGAUUCGACGUCAAAUACCAGCAACUUUACCAAUUUUUUUCAUCUUGAUAUUCCUACCAUUAAAUAUCAAUUGGUGUGAUUUUAGCCGACGUCACGACAAGCAUAGGAUCUUUCACCGCUAUAAAAUGAAUUUCCCACAGUAAAAUGUUUUCCCGACAAAAAAAGUUUUCAAACAACUGGAAAAAUUAUUGAACGACCGGUUAAAAAAAUCACGACAUUUUAUUGCUUUAACUACAACUUGAGGCAAUGAACGACAAUUUUGUUUGGUCAAAAAGUGAAAUUUCAGCGACAAAAUCAAAAUAAUAAAAAAAAGAUUAAACACGAUCAAAAAAGAAUGAAAGCUGAAGAUAAACUAGCAAAAAACAGUUAAUUUUAUUGAAAAUAGCGGGAAAAUAAACAAUUUUGUUGAAAAUUAAUCAGAAAUAGGUACCAAGUCAAUUUUUUCAAUAAUGUUCGGAAUUGGUAAAUUUUUUCAAUAAUUCCCAAAACUAGUCAAUUUUUUCAAAAACUGCCACAAAUAGUUAAUUUUGUCAAGAAUUUCAAAAAUAGGUAGAUAGUAUUCAAUUUUGUCAACUGAAAAAAACAACAGUCAAUUUUCUCAAAAAUUGCCGAAAGUAGUUUGAGUUUAUUAAUAUCUGCCAAAAAUGGUCAAUUUAAUAUAAAAACCUGCCAAAUAUAGGUACCUAACCAAUUUUGUUAAAAACUGCCAAAAAACUAUUAAUACAUAUUAGUUUAAAAUUGUUUAGAAAUACUUACCUAGUCAAUUUUGUCAAAAAUUCCCAAUCCCGACAUACCUAGGUAGUUGAUUUUGUUGAGUUCGAGUAAGUUUAUUUGGUUACAAUUUUCCAGAAAUGAGGUGUUGAAAACUUCCAAAAAUAGUAAUUUUUCUUGCAAAUUGUUCAGAAAUGGUCUAUGUUAGAAAUCGUUGCAAAACAGUCAAUUUCGUCAAAAAUUCCAAAAAUAGGUAGGUACUUGGUAAAUUUAACCAGUAGAUAAACUGUAGUCAAUUUUUUAAAAACUACCCGAAUACUAAAAAAAAAAAAACAGUAAAUUUUGUCAAAAAUGGUCAAGAGUGGUAAAUUUUGUUAAAGUCUUUACAGCAACUAAAAUAAAACUGUUAAUGUUUUGUAGUGUUUGAUAUGGUUUCGUAGUUAAAUGUCUCAUCUCGUGAUACAUUCUCAGUCGUUCAUAAGCACUUUUAUGUCGGGCUUCGUCUGCGGAGUAGAACUUUGUUAUUAUAGGUAGUAGGUACUUGUCCUUCAUUCAUUUGUAGCGCAAAAAAAUAUUUCCCAAUAUCAAUCAAGUAGUACCUAUACCUAUAGGUAUCUACUUAAAGAAGGUAGUCGUAAACAAGGCGGAAACAAAUAAUUGUUUAUAAAUGUUUCAAAUUCUAAGAUCGGAUCUCUACCUACAUAUAAAACAAUGUUUUUUGCGGGCAUUUGAUUUUUUUUUUUUUAACGCAGUUCAUAACUUUACAGUGUAGUGAAAGUAAUGAAAAUAGUGGAAAAUGUAGGUAAUGAUUUUAAAAAUUGGUAGGUAGUAAGUAGGUAAAUGAAG